CCUACGGGAGGCUGCAGUGAGGAAUAUUGGUCAAUGGACGAGAGUCUGAACCAGCCAAGUAGCGUGAAGGAUGACUGCCCUAUGGGUUGUAAACUUCUUUUAUAUGGGAAUAAAACGUUCCACGUGUGGGAUUUUGUAUGUACCAUAUGAAUAAGGAUCGGCUAACUCCGUGCCAGCAGCCGCGGUAAUACGGAGGAUCCGAGCGUUAUCCGGAUUUAUUGGGUUUAAAGGGAGCGUAGGUGGAUUGUUAAGUCAGUUGUGAAAGUUUGCGGCUCAACCGUAAAAUUGCAGUUGACACUGGCAGUCUUGAGUACAGUAGAGGUGGGCGGAAGUCGUGGUGUAGCGGUGAAAUGCUUAGAGAUCACGAAGAACUCCGAUUGCGAAGGCAGUUCACUGGACUGCAACUGACACUGAGGCUCGAAAGUGUGGGUAUCAAACAGGAUUAGAUACCCGGGUAGUC
rnacentral:rRNA from 1 species